UACGUAGGGGGCUAGCGUUGUCCGGAAUCAUUGGGCGUAAAGCGCGUGUAGGCGGUUCGGUAAGUCCGCUGUGAAAGUCGGGGGCUCAACCCUCGGAUGCCGGUGGAUACUGUCGGGCUUGAGUACGGAAGAGGCGAGUGGAAUUCCUGGUGUAGCGGUGAAAUGCGCAGAUAUCAGGAGGAACACCGGUGGCGAAGGCGGCAUCCUGGACCAAUUCUGACGCUGAGGAGCGAAAGCCAGGGGAGCAAACGGGG
rnacentral:rRNA from 1 species